UUUUAUAGUGUAGAAUGAAUGGAUUCACCCGCGAUAUGACGUGACUGUUUCACCUAGGACGAGAACAUGGCAUCCUAUUAUCAGCCAUCGCACGAAAUUAAUAGGAUGCCACGUCCUCAUCUUACAUGGAACAACCACGUCAUCUCACGGAUAAAUCCAUUUAUCGAUAGUGUGGUU
rfam:Oryza glaberrima chromosome 6 Oglab06_0146_9, whole genome shotgun sequence.